GACGAACGCUGGCGGCGUGCUUAACACAUGCAAGUCGAACGGUAAGGCGCCACCUUGUUGGGGUGCGUGAGUGGCGAACGGGUGAUUAACACGUGAGUAACCUGCCCUUGACUUUGGGAUAACGGCAGGAAACGGCGUCUAAUACCGGAUAUGAGCACGGUCUGCAUGGGCGGUGUCGGGAAGGUUGUGCGGUUGGGGAUGGGCUCGCGGCUUAUCAGCUUGUUGGUGAGGUAGUGGCUGACCAAGGCGUGGACGGGUAGCCGGCCUGAGAGGGUGACCGGCCACACUGGGACUGAGAGACGGACCAGACUCCUACGGGAGGCAGCAGGGGGGAAUAUUGCACAAUGGGCGGAAGCCUGAUGCAGCGACGCCGCGUGAGGGAUGACGGCCUUCGGGUUGUAAACCGCUUUCGGCUGAGAAGAAGCGUGAGUGACGGUACCGGAAGAAGAAGCACCGGCUAACUACGUG
rnacentral:rRNA from 1 species